GCCUUAGUAGCGGCGAGUGAAGCGGCAAAAGCUCAAAUUUGAAAUCUGGCUCUUUCAGAGUCCGAGUUGUAAUUUGAAGAAGGUAUCUUUGGGUCUGGCUCUUGUCUAUGUUUCUUGGAACAGAACGUCACAGAGGGUGAGAAUCCCGUGCGAUGAGAUGAUCCAGGCCUAUGUAAAGUUCCUUCGAAGAGUCGAGUUGUUUGGGAAUGCAGCUCUAAGUGGGUGGUAAAUUCCAUCUAAAGCUAAAUAUUGGCGAGAGACCGAUAGCGAACAAGUACAGUGAUGGAAAGAUGAAAAGAACUUUGAAAAGAGAGUGAAAAAGUACGUGAAAUUGUUGAAAGGGAAGGGCUUGAGAUCAGACUUGGUAUUUUGUAUGUUACUUCUUCGGGGGUGGCCUCUACAGUUUAUCGGGCCAGCAUCAGUUUGGGCGGUAGGAGAAUUGCGUUGGAAUGUGGCACGGCUUCGGUUGUGUGUUAUAGCCUUCGUCGAUACUGCCAGCCUAGACUGAGGACUGCGGUUUAUACCUAGGA
rnacentral:rRNA from 1 species